rnacentral:rRNA from 1 species
AUAUCAAUAAGCGGAGGAAAAGAAACCAACAGGGAUUGCCUCAGUAACGGCGAGUGAAGCGGCAACAGCUCAAAUUUGAAAUCUGGCCCUCUCAGGGUCCGAGUUGUAAUUUGGAGAAGAUGCUUCGGGUGUGGCCCCGGUCUAAGUUCCUUGGAACAGGACGUCACAGAGGGUGAGAAUCCCGUACGUGACCGGUGGCCGCCCCCGUGUGAAGCUCUUUCGACGAGUCGAGUUGUUUGGGAAUGCAGCUCAAAAUGGGUGGUAAAUUUCAUCUAAAGCUAAAUAUUGGCCAGAGACCGAUAGCGCACAAGUAGAGUGAUCGAAAGAUGAAAAGCACUUUGGAAAGAGAGUUAAACAGUACGUGAAAUUGUUGAAAGGGAAGCGCUUGCAACCAGACUUGCGCGCGGCCGAUCAUCCGGUGUUCGCACCGGUGCACUCGGUCGUGCUCAGGCCAGCAUCGGUUUGGGUGGUUGGAUAAAGGCCUCGGGAAUGUGGCUCUCUUCGGGGAGUGUUAUAGCCCGAGGUGCAAUGCAGCCCACCCGGACCGAGGACCGCGCUUCGGCUAGGAUGCUGGCGUAAUGGUUGUAAGCGA